GGUCGAAUCUGGGCUCCGCAAGGGGGCUUAAGUCGUAACAAGGUAGCCGUAGGGGAAUCUGCGGCUGGAUCACCUCCACAGACCGGGACCGGGGCGCUGCCCCGGCCCACCUUCGCGGUUUCACGUUCGAUCGACCCACGUUGUGGCCGAUCGGGCACCUUUGAACUACCAAGGCUAACGCUUCACGCUCUGUCCGCCCUUGUGGCGGACGUGGGCCCAUAGCUCAGUGGUAGAGNGGUCGAAUCUGGGCUCCGCAAGGGGGCUUAAGUCGUAACAAGGUAGCCGUAGGGGAAUCUGCGGCUGGAUCACCUCC
rnacentral:rRNA from 1 species